CGCCGCUGAAGCGCUGGGCCCUGGGCUGCCUCCUGCUCUGCCUCGGCGCCUGCCGGCAGCGAGCGGCCGCAGGCACCGCCGAGCCGCGCCGGCCGCGCCCGCUCCGCGCCGACCCCAACGUGAGUGGCCCGGUCCUGAGACCUCCUUCCCUGCGACCCGCUUCUGCGACACCCCGCUCGCAUAUCCUGGCAUCCCUGUGUCCCCCAUCCCUGGCGCUCCCAUCUCCUUGGAGCUCCCAUUCCAUCCUUGGAGCUCCCAUCUCCCUGUUCCCCCGGCAUUCCAUCCCCGGCAUCCCCUCAUUCCCCCAGCUUUGGAACGCCCAUCCCCUGCAUCUCCACGUUCCACCAGUCUUGGAGCUCCCAUCCCCAGCAUUCCCUUGUCCCCCCAGCUUUGGAAUUCCCAUCCCCAGCAUCUCCACGUUCCCCCAGCUUUGGAACUCCCAUCCCCGGCAUUCCCUCGUUCUCCCAGUCUUGCAACUCCCAUCCCCAGCAUCCCCUCCUUCUCCCAGUCUUGGAACUCUCAUCUACGGCAUCCCCUCGUUCACCCAGCUUUGGAAUUUCCAUCCUCGGCAUCCCCACGUUCCUUCAGAACACCUUUUCCCCUUUGGACUCAAACUUCCCUAGACCUACACCACCUCCACCCCACUGCAUCCUUUGCAUUCCAGCACCUUGCGUCGCCCUGGCAAUCCCUCAGGUACUCCCGUUCCCUGCAUCCCGGUGCUUGGCACCCCUCAAUGCCCAACAUCUUUGGGGGUUUUUUUGAGUUUUCCUUUCUUUUGGCUGAAGUUGCAGUGCUGCUUUUAAAGCUGCCUGGCUACUCUCGGGAUGCCUGCUAUGUCAUGCAAAAAGUGAAAGCAAAAUUUGAUCCCUGAGCAGAAGCCUAUGGAAAACAAAGGAUUGCUGAGCUUCUCCCCUCCCUUUCCUGCCUCCAGCGGGAGCUGAAAUCCAUUUCCCUUUCCCAGGCUCUGGAUUCCUUGUACUUCACGGGCUUUGCAGAGACCAACAAGACCUUUGUGAUUGCUCGCCUGGCCCGACGCCCCGCUGGCCUCUGUGAGAUGUGGCUCUUCCUGAGGCUGGAUGGGAUAGGCGAGUU
rnacentral:lncRNA from 1 species